rnacentral:rRNA from 1 species
UACCAGCACCCCGAGUGGUCGGGACGUUUAUUGGGCCUAAAGCAUCCGUAGCCAGUUCUACAAGUCUUCCGUUAAAUCCACCUGCUUAACAGAUGGGAUGCGGAAGAUACUAUAGAGCUAGGAGGCGGGAGAGGCAAGCGGUACUCGAUGGGUAGGGGUAAAAUCCGUUGAUCCAUUGAAGACCACCAGUGGCGAAGGCGGCUUGCCAGAACGCGCUCGACGGUGAGGGAUGAAAGCUGGGGGAGCAAACCGG